rnacentral:rRNA from 1 species
UACGGAGGGAGCUAGCGUUAUUCGGAAUUACUGGGCGUAAAGCGCACGUAGGCGGCUUUGUAAGUAAGAGGUGAAAGCCUGGAGCUCAACUCCAGAACUGCCUUUUAGACUGCAUCGCUUGAAUCCAGGAGAGGUGAGUGGAAUUCCGAGUGUAGAGGUGAAAUUCGUAGAUAUUCGGAAGAACACCAGUGGCGAAGGCGGCUACCUGGCCCAUUCUUGACGCUGAGGCGCGAAAGCUAGGGGAGCAAACGGG